rnacentral:misc_RNA from 1 species
CAGAACCAAGAGAUCCGUUGUUAAAAGUUUUAAUUUAUUAAUUAAGUUUACUCAGACUGCAAAGUUACGCAAGAGUUUGAAGUGUCCACCCGGAGCCCCCGCCCGAAGGCAGGGUCGCCCCGGAGGCAACAGAGUCGGACAACAAAGGGUUAUGAACAUCCCGGCCGUAGCCGGGGUCACUUGUAAUGAUCCCU